rnacentral:misc_RNA from 1 species
GGAAAAUACAAAAUGGGUGUAGCCAAGCAGGAGCAGCAACAGCAGCAGCUAGAGAAGCGAAACGAGGAGCUGGAAAGAGCUUUAAAGGAAAGCAAGGAGAGGGAAGAUCAGAUGAGAGAAGACCUACGGAGGGCUUGGGAGAGGCUGAGAGUGGCGGAGGAAGCGGAGGAAAGGCUCUGCUUACAGCUGGGUGAGCUUGAGGCUGAGGCCGUCAAUCAAGCGCGUGCAUACAACGCACGAAUCCUCUCUCUCAUGGAUCAGCUCUCUCAGGCCCUCAAUCUUCUCCAUAAACAAUAGAAUAGUGAAUUCCAGAUUUUAUGGAUGUUGUUAAAUAUAGGUUGUGGGUGAAUAUUGCGUAUUAUGUUUAUAAUUUGGGAUCUCUGCGCGUGUUGAGUUUCAUCUGUUUAUGCAGAGAUCAAUUUUUGUAGAUUUCAAAGGGCUGAGAUGUCCCUCUGGAUUGUUUUGAAU